rnacentral:rRNA from 1 species
UACGGAGGGAGCUAGCGUUAUUCGGAAUUACUGGGCGUAAAGCGCACGUAGGCGGCUUUGUAAGUUAGAGGUGAAAGCCCGGAGCUCAACUCCGGAACUGCCUUUAAGACUGCAUCGCUUGAAUCCAGGAGAGGUGAGUGGAAUUCCGAGUGUAGAGGUGAAAUUCGUAGAUAUUCGGAAGAACACCAGUGGCGAAGGCGGCUCACUGGACUGGUAUUGACGCUGAGGUGCGAAAGCGUGGGGAGCAAACAGGG